rnacentral:lncRNA from 1 species
CACAGGGACAUUUUCAGUUGUUACUAUUGUUUCAUAACCUUGUCUGAUUAUUUGGUUUCUUCAUGUUGGGGGAUAAAGCUUUCUAUUACUCCAUCUUGUCAAGACACAAAAGUCCCUAGUGUAGUAUUUUAAACAAGCAAAACCACCCUAUCUUUCCCUCAUAUGUGACUUUUUAUAUCUUUAUUUUGUAAGAUUUCUUUAACUUUGUGUUUAAAUCUUCUACUAAGAUUUUCAUUUCUGCUAUCAAGUUUCUAAAUUCCAAAGCCCCUCCUUUCCCCCCUUUUCUUCUUUCCUUUCUGUCUUCCUUUUCUUUUUUCCUCUCUUCCUUCCUCCCUUCUUUACUCUUUCUUUUCUUCCCUCCUCCAUUUACUCCUCCUCUGCAUUCUCUCCCUGCAUUUCUUCUUUUCCUCCUUCCUUUUUUUCAUCUUUCUUUUCUCAUUAUUUAAGGUUCUUUGAAAAUAUUUUUUUCUUGGAUGCAAUAUCUGUACGUAUUUUUCUGCCACUAUUAAUUAUUGCUUCACUUACAGUGAUUCCUGCAAACUUUCAAUCUUCUCUAAGGUGGGGCUUUGUUUAUUUAUUUUAUUUGCAUCUUCCAGGUGACAUGGUUUUCUGGUGCCUUGGCAACUGCUCACGAUGCAUGGGAAGACUAAACACUUUGUGUACAGCAUUCUGUCUCAUCCAGUGAAGACUUCCUCUGGAUUAUUGCAGCAGACACCUCUAACCUCCUUAAUCUGUGGCUAAGCAAGGCUGUCCUUGGUGUGGCUUGCAGACUGAAUUCAGCCAGCAUGGUGCUAUUUGAUUUUACUUACAACAAACAAACAACUGUUCAGAUUAUUAGACAAUGGAAUGGGAAUACCUUUGGAGUCACAAUUUCUCCAAUUCGCCAUGUCUCUCUGUUGCUCUACAACUGUAAGGAGAGAAAAAUAAUUAGAAGAAGAGUCUCCCUCAAUAGAGAGGCAGACAUACACACCUGGUGAUCAUCACUGUGGUCCUGCCCACCCUGGCACAGGUGGGUCAGACAAACCUGGUCUGAUUCUGAUUUACUUUGCCUGAGGGAGUUAACAAAGGUUUCAGAGAGAGGGAAUCAGAAAACCCUCAUGUAAAACAGAUACCAUACAUGUUAGAUCGAAU